CGCUUUCACUAACGUUCUCAAAGUGAGGAAAUUCUCAGCUCAAGAUUUUCUCAGAACUGUCUGAGAAUUGUCUCAGCUGAGAAAUUUCUCAAGUUGGCUUUCACUAAACUUUUUCUCAAGUCUUGAGAUUUUUCUCAGCUGAGCCGUAAUUUUUUAAAACAUAAGCGGCCAAACAUCCAAGGAGCCGCGUGAACUUUCCCACAAACACGAGUGCAUAGUUGGGGGCAGUGGAAUUAUUCAUUUAUUGAGACGAAACGAAGCGUUGAGAAAUGUUCAUAAACAACAUGUACAGUUUCGGGAUAUAUCCAAAUUGUGUUUGUACAAAGGUCAUAGCCUGCUGAUGAAGAUCCUCAGCUUAUUAUACAGAGGUCAGGCUUGAGCUAUGUGCUGAUUCAAAAGAUGCUAAUGACAGUGGAUAAUCCAUUCUGAGUUGUUCUAGGAUCAUUCACCAACGUUUCAAAACACUGAUGGAAUUGAAGGCAGUACAUAUACUGAUGUCUGGCCUGUGAUUUCAAGUAUAGACUAUAAUUGAUGUACCUCCUCCUGAUGUAUCUCCAUGAAAAAAUAUAUCUGCCAUGUGAAAGGAGCAAGCUGCAAGAUAUACUGUGGAAGUGGGGGCCUACGUAAAAAACAUUUUAUUUAAAGAAUAUAAGAAAUCUGACACUAAACUACUGAAAAGGUGCACAGGGGACAUUUUUGUGUGUAUAGACUUUCAUCAAGAUUCUGAGAAAGUUGAUUUAUUAAACAGAAAUAGUCAUAUUGUGUCUUCAAAGCUGAAAAAGAUUAAGAUCUUAGGAAACAUUAGGACUCAAGAAAAGUAAUGGGGUAAUGAAACUGCAGUGUUCAACAUUUAAAUUGUUUUUUGUUUUUUUUUCACUACAUUUUGUGAAGAGGGUUCCAUCACAAGAUGUGACAUAUUGGUAAGAAUGAGAUGUAGUUUAUGCAAAAAAGUAUUUUGCUUUAAAUGUGUAGACUUUAAGUUACAUAAAAAAUCAAAGCUGUAACAAUAAAGCUUGAUUUAAAAAAACUA